rnacentral:rRNA from 1 species
AUUGAACGCUAGCGGGAUGCUUUACACAUGCAAGUCGAACGAGUGGCGGACGGGUGAGUAAUAUAUCGGAACGUGCCCAACAGAGGGGGAUAACUACGCGAAAACGUGGCUAAUAACGCAUAAUAUUGUAGCGGCCGGCAUCGGAUUAGCUAGUUGGUGGGGUAAAGGCUCACAAAGGCAACGAUCCGUAGCUGGUUUGAGAGGACGACCAGCCACACUGGGACUGAGACACGGCCCAGACUCCUACGGGAGGCAGCAGUGGGGAAUUUUGGGCAAUGGGGGAAACCCUGAUCGAGCCAUCCCGCGUGUAUGAGAAGGUCUUCGGGUUGUAAAGUACUUUUGGCAGAGAAGCGGUAUCUGAAGAAUAAGCACCGGCUAACUACGUGCCAGCCGCCGCGGUAAUUC